rnacentral:rRNA from 1 species
UACGUAGGGGGCUAGCGUUGUCCGGAAUCAUUGGGCGUAAAGCGCGCGUAGGCGGCCCGGUAAGUCCGCUGUGAAAGUCAAAGGCUCAACCUUUGAAUGUCAGCGGAUACUGCCGGGCUAGAGUCCGGAAGAGGCGAGUGGAACUCCUGGUGUAGCGGUGGAAUGCGCAGAUAUCAGGAAGAACACCAACGGCGAAGGCAGCUCGCUGGGAUGGAACUGACGCUGAGGCGCGAAAGCGUGGGGAGCGAACAGG